ACACGACUACAUUAGAUACCCGGGUAGUCCCAGCCGUAAACGAUGCGCGUUAGGUGUAUCGACGACCACGAGUCGUCGAGGUGCCGAAGGGAAACCGUGAAACGUGCCGCCUGGGAAGUACGGUCGCAAGGCUGAAACUUAAAGGAAUUGGCGGGGGAGCACCACAACAGGUGGAGCCUGCGGUUUAAUUGGACUCAACGCCGGAAAUCUCACCGGAUAAGACAGCAGAAUGAUUGCCGGGCUGAAGACUCUGCAUGACUAGCUG
rnacentral:rRNA from 1 species